rnacentral:rRNA from 1 species
UACGUAGGGACCGAGCGUUGUCCGGAAUCAUUGGGCGUAAAGAGCGUGUAGGCGGCGUGGUAAGUCACUUGUGAAAUCUCUGAGCUUAACUCAGAACGGCCAAGUGAUACUGCUGUGCUAGAGUGCAGAAGGGGCAAUCGGAAUUCUUGGUGUAGCGGUGAAAUGCGUAGAUAUCAAGAGGAACACCUGAGGUGAAGACGGGUUGCUGGGCUGACACUGACGCUGAGGCGCGAAAGCCAGGGGAGCAAACGGG